GAGUUUCAGAGGCUGAGUGCGACAUGCCGUCACUUUGUCCUUAUGGUUUGUACCCGCCCGGCCUGAGAGGUGCUGUAUUUGCACAUUUCAGCCCCCUGAGCACUGACGGGUGGUGAAUAUGGAGCAGUGGGGCCCAGGCUGCACUCUCUACUUCGUUUCUCCUUCACCCUGGGCAAAAAGCUAGCAGGCUUUCCUGUUUCCGAGCUGACUGUGUGAUCUGAGCUGACUCUGAAACCUGUCAAGCACAAUGCCUGCUGUGGGAGCCACCUUCUCCAACUGACACCGCCUGACCCCAGCUUCCAGCUCACUCCCCGCUCUGUGAAGGAAGCAGCUCCAGGGAAUUUGAAGAAUCUCCAGGAGGGCCAGAGAGUAGACUUGGAUGCCACCCAGCCAGCAAUAGAGAAGUUGGGACCACCCAGCCAGGGACAAGGCCACACCUCAGCCAUCACCACCCACAAGCAACGCAGCAUGUAUGAGCUGGGACAGGACACCAGAAACUACCUCAUGAUUGCUCCGGAAGAAGCAGCUGCAGGUGCUCAGCCAUCUUUAUUUCCUGCCACCCCCAAACUAUGAAGACAGCAAAGCAGCCUGUGGAGAGGCUGCUCACAGAGGCAACCCCACCCUUACUUGGUGAUGGCACGUGGAACUCCACCUCCCAGGUGGAAAAUGGAAAAAUUGUUUCCUUCUCUGAUCUACUGCCUGAGCUGUCAUCAGGAUUUUGAGGACUGACUUAAUGAAUAAAAUAUAAAGGCUUAGCGUGAGCCUGGGAUAUGCAUGGUGGAAGAGAAUAAAUAGCCUUUUGUAUAU
ensembl:lncRNA LINC02814 long intergenic non-protein coding RNA 2814